rnacentral:rRNA from 1 species
AUUGAACGCUGGCGGCAGGCCUAACACAUGCAAGUCGAACGAGUGGCGGACGGGUGAGUAAUGUCUGGGAAACUGCCUGAUGGAGGGGGAUAACUACUGGAAACGGUAGCUAAUACCGCAUACCAUCGGAUGUGCCCAGAUGGGAUUAGCUAGUCGGUGGGGUAACGGCUCACCUAGGCGACGAUCCCUAGCUGGUCUGAGAGGAUGACCAGCCACACUGGAACUGAGACACGGUCCAUACUCCUACGGGAGUCAGCAGGGGGGAAGAUUGCACAAUGGGGGCAAGCCUGAGGCAGCCAUGCCGCGUGGAUGAAGAAGGCCUUCGGUUUGUAAAGUACUUUCAGCGGGGAGGCGUUACCCGCAGAAGAAGCACUGGCUAACUCCGUGCCAGCAGCCGCGGUAAUAC